AACCCAUGGUGUGGGCACUCUCUCUGGUAUUCCUUAUACCUUUCCCAAGCCUCAUAAAAAGGUUCAUCAGACUUCUGCUGAAGUUGGAGAUUCUGUUCCGUAGAGC
rnacentral:snoRNA from 1 species